UGUUGUGAAGAAGAAAGUCAGUGAUUGUCAGAUAGCAUUUGAAAAUGUGUGUGAUUUAGUAAUAGCCAAGAGAGAUAUGUUUAACACUGAAGCGACGGUACAAGUAGUGACGUAGUCAGACGAAUGCGGAUACAUGGAGAACAAGAUGGCUAGAGCUUAGAGAAGGAAGAAUAGUGAUAGAGACAAGACGAGCCUCCCAUCUGUAAAUAAAUACAUACAUCAGUUGAAGUC
rnacentral:sRNA from 1 species